AGCAGUCGCCGCGGUAAUACGUAGGUGGCAAGCGUCGUCCGGAAUUAUUGGGCGUAAAGGGCUCGCAGGCGGUUUCUUAAGUCUGAUGUGAAAGCCCCCGGCUCAACCGGGGAGGGUCAUUGGAAACUGGGAAACUUGAGUGCAGAAGAGGAGAGUGGAAUUCCACGUGUAGCGGUGAAAUGCGUAGAGAUGUGGAGGAACACCAGUGGCGAAGGCGACUCUCUGGUCUGUAACUGACGCUGAGGAGCGAAAGCGUGGGAAGCGAACAGGAUUAGAUACCCGUGUAGUCCCUGUCUCUUAUAC
rnacentral:rRNA from 1 species